GGUUACAUCCAAAUAUUAUAUUUAACAAUUCAUCUAAGGGAAAACGUCUACAAGAAUAUCUUUCCCACAUUAAUAAAAUAACGAGCGAGAUUAUAAAGAAAAAGAAGGAGUCAAUGCACAAGGAUAACUUUACCCAGGAAGGAAAA
rnacentral:lncRNA from 1 species